GCAAGACUCUCAAACAUCACCCCCCAUGGUGUGUUCCAUUCCAUCCUAAAUCGCAUCAUCAAGCAUACAUCGUGCAGUUAAAAUUUCGGGGCCAACUUUCUUGUUAUUAGGGAUUAUACAUAUCCAGUUGAAACAGCGGAGAAAAAAGAUACAUGGAAAACAGGAAGCUACAGCAGACACUCCUUGAGACCGCAAGGGCGACGCGUGCAGGCUACCUAGCCAGUUUCUUUUCCCUUUUUGGUCGGUGUUGACGAUCACAUCGCGGCGUAAAACGUGGUCGUCGAUGACUCUUCUUCAGGAACCGCCUCCUUGAGUUUCCCCUGGGUGAAUCUCCUCAGCAUUUCAAGGGCGGCCUUCGGUUGGUCCAUCGGAACCAUGUGGCCAGCAUUGUGAACCUGCAUUUGCACACACAAACAGAUGUCAGUAAUCUAGACUGGCCAUCUAUCUGGACUCGCUUCUGCUCAUCCUUGAUCUAGUGGUUAAGUAGUAUCAGUUGGGUUCAUGUCGGCGUAACCGUGCUUUUACUAGGCCAUCUAGGCACGUUUACUGAUGCACCAAGUUUGUUUGAAAAAUGAAUGGGCCAACUUCUUUCGGAUUAAAUUUUGGGAGCAGUAGGUAUCGAGUUAAAGUGAAAACAGUGCUUGGUCGCAAACCUUGAGGAAGCUGAGUGCCCCAUGGCUCUUCAAGACUCCAGCUUGGGCAUCGUCUACUAAAAACGAUGAUUCAGCAGUUUUGGCAAAGUCUUUCUGACCAGACCAUUCCAUGGAGUGGACCCACCUUGAGUUUCCUGCUCAAAACAUAAACAAUGUUACACUUUGACAUAUUACAUGACAUACAUCAAAUAAUCUGACAAUGUGUAAGACAAUGCAGAACAUGAGGCCAAGCAUAAACUUUAUUUUAACAUGUUAGGUUAAAGUAGGAUUCAGAAACUGGGAUGCUGGUGUUCCUAUUCACCUAAAAAAUGACAUGUAAAGAUCCUGUCAUGAAAGAGCGAGCUAUAUGCAGUAUAAAUGGGGGACAUUGAAGUACGUAAUUAGUUAUGACGAAGCAAAUUUGCAAAAUGACUCUAAAAAACAUAUCGGCUUCAACAUAUCCUUACCGAGCCAAUUGCAUAUAAGGUCAUAUUCCCCAGCAUAUAUGAGCACAUUGAUCCCAUCCUCAAGUAGAGCUGGGAUGCCGACUUCCAAGUUCCUCAUCCAGUCUGUGAGCAUUGCUUGAUAAACCGAAGUGCUGCAUGAGACGAAUUCAAUGUCACCUACUCCAAUUGCCUGUCUGACUGCUUUAUCACCGAAGAACUUCUCCAAGUUUGAGAAGUCGUAGCAGAGUUUCCCUUCGCACUCCUUCCUAACGUCGUAAUACUGUAAAGAGGCCAUUAACAAGUUUUAGUUUAUAGCCGCAAAUAAUAUGUUUCUUAGUCUUUAGUCUACUGAUGCUAUUAGCAAAAUUAACAUCAAAUCCUCACUUACAUUCUUGGUACCAACAAGCUUCAUGAUAGAGUUGAAGAUGGAAUUGCAGACCAUAUAUGCUGCCAUGCAAGAUGCUUUCCCAUCUGUACCUGAAACAUAAGUAUGUCGUUAGGGACAUUUUCUUUUAACUUGGAGAAAUCCUCAGGUAUCAGGAUGUGAUUUGAAUGUGUUGUUUGGUUGUUAAAAAAAUGCGUUGUUUGGUAGAAAAUACUCCUAGAUACUGUGUGGACAACUUUAUUUUAUUUAACCAAAAAAGUGUAUGCAACAUUAGUUAACCUCAUUUAUACCCUAUAAAUGGAUUCAUUCAGCUUUCAAGAAGUUUGACAGUUGGAAAUAUAUACAUGUUAUUCUCAGGCAAUGGCAUCACAAUGCUCUUAUCUUUUGCAAAUGAUACCAAGGAAACAGAGCAUUUAUGAAGUACUGACCACAAAGUUUGAUUGCAAAUUCACAUGGUGGGAUGAAUUUGUUGAUCCUUUCAUAGUCAGCUUUCUGAAUAAGGUUCAUGUCCAAUGCAUAGUCUGUGUAGGCCUUGUAUUGGAUUGCUGGAUCUGUGAGACCAUUACCGAUCGCAAAUCCCUAUAAUACAAAUAAGAGAGAUGCAUAUUGAUAUUAAUUAAGAAAGAAUCAAAUCAUCAAUAGAGAAUUCAAGGCAACACGAACUUCGGUAAGGAUCUUACCUUCAAGUUUAUGUGAGUGCCCUCAUUUUUCUUGUUUCCCUGGUGAACUCGGCUUGCAAAUGCUGGAAUGUAGUGCCCAGCAUAGGAUUCUCCAGUGAUAAAGAAGUCGUUCUUUACAAAUUCCGGAUGCUUCUUGAAGAAGACCUGAAAUGGGAGUUAAGAACAGAUAAUUACUACACAGUACUUCUCUGUUUUCACUCAAGUCAACAGAGUCUAAAUAAUCAGGCCUUAGAACAAUACACAGCUCUGUUUCAUGAUUCUUCUACUUCACCUGGUCUUAUCUGAGGGCUAAAUUUUAGGUAAAUCAUCGUUUACCACCUCAAACGAAGCUAUGCAGUCAAAUUUGCUAUAUUCAUAUUUUUACACAAUAGGAAGAUUGAAGAGGACACACAGUUAGGCAUAUCAGUAGGAGGGCACCUGCCUAACUCUUGGACAGUUAGCCAAAAGAGGUGGAUGGGAUACAUAUUUGUUGUUCUGGUGGAUCAAGGGGUGCAGAAAUAGUAGCUAGCACUAAAUGCAGGAAGUACGGAAAACAUCUUGUAAUGCACUUAAUCGGAAAAAAAUGGGUUAUGCUCCGGUGGGAGUAUCCAAUCGUAACGGAAUUGUUGUGCCUUAAGAGAGUAGAACUGCACUAUAUAUGAGCAUAUUAUUAACUGAUACUACCAAACUAGAAACUACUAUAAAUAAAAGAGUGCCCUGAUGUGUUUAUUGUAGUUAUAAGUCGUUAUACGAUGAUUAUCUUACGCUAGAAGGAUAUUUUAGCAUGUCUUGCUAAAAUGUUCCUUACUGAAUGAGUUAACCAAGUUUCUACAGUACUGUAUCAUCUCGUCACCAUCAGUUUAUAAAGUACAGAAGAAGUAAACUGCGUCUUGGACCGAAAACAGUACCUGGAGAAAGUCAUAGAGGUCGUUGCUGACCCCUGCCUCGUCGUGACGGGUAUCGCGGUCGUCAGAGCUGUAGCUGAACCCAGUCCCGGUCGGCUGAUCAACGAAUAUGAUGUUCGAGAUCUGCAGGCAGCAAGUACCAUCAGCACAGCAGGAGGCAGACCAAACCACAGACCACAGUAGCUUAGUAAUAAUAGCUGACAUAAUCCAGGAGCUGUCUGUCUGUCUGCAGCCCAAAGACCUCAAAUUGACCUUCUGGUCACCAUCAAUUUAACCACGGAUAUAUACAAUUACUAUUUUCUGAACCACUAGUCAGACACAGAAAAAACACUUCAGUUCAGACUUGAUUGCAGUUGCUUUCACCCAAAAUCAGGCGACAGUUUCAGACUUACAAAAUUUCAGGUCAUAUUUUUCAGUGGUUACGUGCUAGGUGAGCAAAGCAUCCGGUUUCUUUCUUGACGAAACGUAUAAAGCAUUUUAUUAUUAGAAUGUGCAUUAAUAAAGUGCAUGGCAAUUAUAGGUGAGAUUGCCUACCUUGUCCCAUCCGAACUUGUUCCAGACGAGCGACAUGUUGUUGGCGAUGGUGAAGGGCCCGUUCUCGUAGAAGACGGCGAGCUCGCUGCUGCACCCCGGGCCGCCGGUGAGCCAGAUCACCACGGGGUCCUCCUUCUUGCCCCGCGACUCGAAGAAGAAGUAGAACAUCCUGCAGAAGGAAUCCGUCAGUUUCAGCUCCGAAAACCGUUCCCCAAUCGCCGGCGCGCCGGGCCGCCGGCCGUUACGGACCAAAAAGCCUUGGACUUUGGCGCAAAAACAGAGCGAGUUGGCUCCAGAAGAUCACGGAUCCGCCGGAGCUAAGGGGCGACGGCCGGAGUGUGUCUGUCUGUGACUGACCUGGCGUCGUGGGUGUUGGGGAGGCGGUAGUAGCCGGCGUGGUGGCCGAGGUCGCCGACGCCCUCGGGGAGCCCGGGCAGCGUGACCCGGCGCUCCAGCAGCUGCCCGGGCGCCACGUCCACUGCCCCCGCACCGACCUUGCCGCCGCGGCCGGAGGACGCCCCCGGGAGCAGGUUGAGCGCGCGGAUGAGCCGCUCGGCCUGCGCGCCCGGGAAGCUGGCGUCGGGGGGCAGCCGGAGCGCGUCCACCGCCGCGCCGGCGAGGAGGCAGACGGCGGCGAGGAGGAGGAGGAGCAGGAGGCGCGAGGUCGUCGCCAUUGAUGGUGCGAUGGUGGGGAGAGGAGGUAGCGGUUUCGUGGGGAUUUGGCGGAGGUUUCCCCGGGAAUUUAUAGCGUGGCGUGGCUUUCGGGGUGGAGCUUGCAACGGACUGCUCUGCUGCUGGUGCUCUGCUCUGUUCUUGACUUUGCUUGGAAGCGCUUCCUAAGAUGAGAUUCCUCUCCUUUUUAAAUUCCUCUUUUUUUGUUCUUCUGUAUUUGGACACCAACUUUUUAUUAUUAUCAGCGUGUUAUUUAAUUUUUAUUUUUAUAACAAUAAUCUGAUCAAAAUCCUAAUUCUGAUCCGAAUCAUGGUGCACGAUGGAGUAGACCAGACGAUGCCCGUACCCACCGUGAAAAAAAGAAACUUCCCAGAUCCAGGGAAGCUGGGCAUAAAGAAGGGCUUUGUCCGUUCUUUCAGCAAAGUAUAAAUUUCCUUUUCUGACGAACCGACGGGUUUUAUUAUUCCUCGAAUAACUAGUAGUGUCGAGAACGUCCUUAUAUUAUGCGACGGAGGAAGCAAUACGGAUCCUUUAUACAAGAAUAACCUACGUACAUGUAAAAUGAAAAAUACAUUCAAAUUCUUAGUCAUUCUGACGUCUCCUCCCGCAUCAAUCGACGACGCGUCCUGAGCAAAACUCGUUGCCGCCUCUGCAUUUUUGUCUCAACGGAGCAAACUUGGGUAAACCCAUGAGCUUGUAGAAGCACCAGACGAGAAGUCGCCAAUAUAGACCAGAAAAUGCCAGUAAUCUAUGCAGUAAAUCACCAUCUCGACGAGGUCUAAGUUGAUCAAUCUUCAGCGGGGGUCGGAACUUGGAGCCGGUGGACAAAGUCGCGCUAUCUACUAAGCAUGAUAGCAUCACUGAGACAAAACUUGCACAAGAAAAACAAAACCCUUGCCUGAAGAACCAGAUCUGGGAACACACCACCCUUCACACACCUCCCAGCGAAACCAAAAAGCUUUACAAGAACAUGACAAUGCAGGGAGGACUUGUUCCAUGUCGCAGACGACGUCAUUGCCUCACCGUCAAUUACUAGGGACAAACUUAAACUAAAAACCUCACCCUACCAUCAUCGAUUCGGGUUCUCCGCGCACUCCCAUUGCUUGAGCGGGCGUCCGGUGGGAGAGGGGCACGCGAUCUCACCUAGGAGGACGUGGAUCGGCGCUACUGCCUUAGGUCCGAAGCUUUUGCUGGAGAGAGGGAAGAAGGAAAGGUAGGAACGACUUUGUUACCGGAAAAAUACAUAAAUCAUAUUUUGAAGUUUCCAAAAAUUCUGAAAAAGUACACAUGUAUCUAGGGAUGUAUAACACCUUCAAAGAAUUUCAUGAUGAAAUACAUUGUCGUCCCAUGUCUUUCUAGCACAAGCACUAUUCAUUUUCACUAUAAAAGUAUAUUAUUUUGUUUUUUAUACAGCUCACACCUAAUCCUAUUUGAUCGUGAAAUUCUACAUAAAUGUAGUAUACAUCCCAAUGUUCAUGAGUAAUUUUUUUAAAGAUUUUCCAAAAUUUUAAAUAUAAUUUCCAACCAAAAAAAAACAGAGCUCCAUGGAGCUCGGGAGCAAGAGAGCGACUCAACUUAUUAGUCGUAGUAGCAGCCCCUCCGUUUGAAAAUAAUUCAAGCUUUAGGAUUGUCCUAAAUCAAACUUCCACAAGUUGGACAAAGUAUACAUAGAAAUGCAUCAACAUGUAUAAAGCCAAAUUUAGCUCAUUAGAUUAGUUAUAUGAAAUAGUACGUAUAUUUUAAUAUUAUAUAUGUUUAAUAUCGUACUAGAUCUGUGCGUAUUAUUCUAUGAACUUGGUCAACCUAAAAAAAAGUUUAUAACUUAGAAAAAAAAUCUUAGAAGUUCAACGACGUCGUCGAUAUUCACGUGCUCCUGCAUUGAUCCUGGAACUGUCUUGGUGUUGGCCGUAACAGAAUCUUUCGGCAUUACACGUGCACGUCCGACGGCAGGACAUAGCAGCAGGUGGACGAGGUCGGUUGGGUCUGUUUGCCUCGCCGGUGACAUGAAUGGACGGCCUUUCUUCGUGGGUUGCUCAACGCCGCCGAGAGAGACGGCAGCAAAAAUAGCACCGGCUGAGAACGCAGGCGCUACUUUUAUUUUGUGUUGCGGAUCACUGCCACGGAGAAGAAAACAUCCAAGAGGGCAUGUAUUGAGCAUGAAACUUUAUGGAAAUGUGGCAUACACCCCCAAUGUUUCAUGUGCAUCUAUUUUCGACUUUCUAAAACUUUAAAUAUAGAAUUUUGCUUAGAAAAGUUGAUGGGUUCGAAUCAGAUUAAAGGUGGAGAUUACAAGGUAUGUACCCCCUGUAUGAAAAAGUAGACGACAGUCUUUUGUAUAGGAAUCAACCUAUUCAAUCCGUGUAUACUUUGGCUUUUAAGGAGGACGUACCCAAGCAAAAGCUCUUAAAUAUGAUCUUUCUUGGUUUUUAGAAAGAUGGUUCCAUGGAGCUUGGGAUGGGAGCAAGAAAAGCACGAACCUAUUAGCGUAGUAGGAGUAGUAGUAGUAGUAAUAGUAUGCAAAUGUACUAUGCUGACAUGUCCGACAUUCAUGCGUUCCUCCGUUGGUUCUGCAACUGUCCUGGCGUAGGAUGCAACAGAUUUUAUUCGCCAUUACGCGUACACGUCGGACGGCACGACAUAUAUAGCAGCACGUUGACGGAAUCGGUUGGGGUUUGUUUCGCCGGGUGACAUGAACGGACGGCCGGAGAAUCUGACUCAACUCAACUCUCGCAGUCUCGACUGCCUGCUCUGGUCACUGGAUCUCGACCGUUUCGCUCUUUUUUUGGCUGCUGUCGCAAGCUGAGCUGAAUCUUGUUGGGUUGGUUGUGGCUUGUUGGAGUCUUCUCCUGGCAGCAAUAGCAGGCUUUGGCUUGAAGGCCGCAACGACCACUGGUCGGCCAGCCGCUCAGCUUUACAUGCAGACCUACUACUUCAUUCAUUUAACCUGAACUUUAAUUGUGCGCGUAGCGGCGUAGGAGCUGUGAAUCUUUCCCCUUUCUGAACCCGGGCUGUGGCUUGGACGGCAGGAGAAGCGAGCGAGCGAUGUGACGCGAUGCUCAACGCCGAGAGAGACUGAAGGAGACCAAGAUAAGUAAUCCGGACAUCAUCUUGGCGGCAGAAUUAGCACCAGGGCCGACUGAGGAAGCAAGCAGACGUUGUCGACCUGUGACGGGUGGAUGCAUGAUAAUUGAUUGAUUGAUUGAUCUACCUGGCCGGCGCGGUGGAGUGCACGCACACCAUAUCGCUUGCUAUCCAUCAGUUAUCAGUGGUGGUGGUAGUACUAACUUGGGCGUUCCUUGCACGCAGCAGCAUCACCUGCGGCAUUGUUUGAUUGCUCCGUGCUGAUCGGAUCGGACGUUCGAUUAUUGAUCUCCGUCUACACUGAAUUGCAGAUUCAGGCUGCAACGUGAGUCGCAGCAGAGGUUGCUUGGCUUCCGCCGCUCGCAAGCUCCGUGUACAGCGCGUACGUACUCCCUCUGUUUGGAUACAUCCAUUUCUACGACAAAUAAUUCCGAACGGAGGAAGUAUGUAUGUCCGUUGCGGCGGACAGCAAAAGGGAAGGGAGGCCGAUUAGAUCGUUCACAUCACGUCACCUCACAUGCAUGCAGCACCGCACCGGCGCGCUGGAAGAAGAGGAACAAGGCGACACGUGCACGGAAAGCAACUGCCCAAGUUCCAUCCGCUCGACCGAUUAUCAGCUCAUGUACAAUGCAUAGCCUCAAGUUGAUGCCUUGCAUGCCAUCUAGGAUUGGAUAUCUGAUAAAAUAAGAUCGGAUAUCUGGUAAAAUAGGUUCGGAUAGAGAAACGAGAUCUUCUGCAUGAGGCGGGUGCUUGGAGAGAGAAAAAUUUGGUCCAGUGUUAAAAGCUGAAAAGUAAAGAUACAUGUGUAUUAGAGUCUGUAUUUUCUACUCCGCCAACCACCCUGGAACUAGGGUACUAGGAGAGUUAAGUGAGUGAGGGAGCUUGGAUGGCCCCCCACCCAUCCACCCAUUCAUCACCAAUCCUUCUUUUCCCCGAGUUCAGUUCUCUCUCUCUCUCUCUCACUCUCUAUCCAAGCCUCUAUCAAAUAUCCCUUCAUUGUUGAGAUUUGUCUAGUGGAUUCGAGGUAUUUUCAUCACUCAUGGUACAUCUCUCACUACUCUCAUUUUUUGUUGGUUAGAAUCAUCUCAUUUGGUGGCAUUGGUCACUUUGGUGCAAACCCUAGCUUUACUCUAGAUUUACUCAUUUUGUGGUUAAAUAAAUGGGGAUGGCAGAAUUUAGGGUUAUACUUGUCCUUUAUGUUUUGUAUGCAUAAUAUUUUUGGUUGGUAUGGUUACGGGUUUUAUGUUAAUGGUUAAGGACAGGGGUAACAGUUCUGGUGAUGGUGAAAAGGACUCAUCAAAUUGUGGGAUGGCGCUUGUUAUCUUCAUUAAGGCAUCUGUUGAUGCGAGGGAAAACCACCAACGCGUACUCAUUGAGGAAGAGAUGCACAAGUAUCGACAAAUUGAAUGCAGUUUCAAGGGACUUUGCAUCGUGUUAUUUCUAUGAUUACCCUUCAAAGGUCAUUGACGAGAAAGACAAGAAUAUUCGUGAACUCAAGACGAAUGAAACUCUUAAUUUUCUUUGCCUUUUUCAUCGGUUUUUUGUUUCUUUUUUCCGUUUUCACAUAGUUUUUUUUUGUUUUCUUUAUUUUUUCUGUUUCCAAAGGUUUCUUCGUUUUAUACUUGGUUUUUCUCUGGUUUUUUUGCACUGUUUUUCUCAGGUUCUUUGUUUCCUUUUUCUCUUCUGGUUUAUUUGUCUCCUUCUUUGGGUUUCUUUGUUUUUUCUUUUUCUUCCUUUUCCUUUUUUCCUUUUUUAAACACAUGUCUACAUUUUGUUACACAUAGUACAUUUUCAUAUAUGUCAAGAACAUUUCUGUAAUACAUGUUUAACAUUUUUAAAUACUUUCACCGUCCCAAAUUAAUUGAUGCUAAAAUGGUAGUAUAUAGUACUGAAGUAUGUCCAGAUGCAUCCAUUUUGGUGUCAAUUAAUAUGGUAUGGAGAUUACCUGAUUAACUUUUUUUCUUUCAAAUAAAUGUUUUAAUGUCUAUUGUUUUCAUACACAUUGUACAUUUUUUGUAUACAUCUAUUAUUAAUACAGGUUUACCAUUUCCUUUAUAAUAUGAUUAACAUUUUUUCAGAUAUAUGUUUUUAUGUCUAAUUUUCUUCAUGCACAUCAUACAUUUUUCUUAUACAUCAGACAUACUUUUUGUACAUAUUUAAAAUUAUAUAUAUACACCUUUAACAUUUCCAAUUACAUGGUUAGGACUUUUUAAAACAUAUAUUUUUGGAUGUCUACUUUCUCCAUAUACAUUGUAUACAUCCGGAACAAUUUCUAGAUAUACGUUUAUCGUUUUCAAAUACAUGAUUAACAUUUGUGAAAAAUUAUAUGUUUUGAUGUCUACUCUUUUCUGUACAUAUUUCAUAUUUUUUUUUGUAUACAUCAGAAAUAUUUUCUUAUACACAUUUAAUGUUUUCAAAAUGCAUGAUUAACAUACAUAGUUUCUUAUAUACAUGUAAAGUUUUCUAAAUGCAUUACUAACAUACUCGUCAGCGUAAACAAAAGUAAAAAAAAUAAAACUGAAAAAUACAGAAAAAAUGAGGCAAUGGCCUCCCCCACGCCGGGCCUCCCCAUUUGUGCCGGCGCCUGGUUGCACGCGCUAGUUGUAACAUCCCAUGAACCUAAAACAAAAUAAACCUAAAAAAAGAAGUUGGACCAUCACAUUUGCCUCACUAAGCACUCUCUAGGACUUUCGUUAGGACACGAUCUAUGACGCUUUUGGAAGAAUUUUCUGAAUGUUUUGUAUGUUUUUAACGAUUUUACUAUUUACACAGGCGAAACAUCUGAGUCCAGGCUAAAUCUUAGAUAGCUAAUCCGAUCAACAAGCAACUAGUUUUAUUCUGUCCCGAGAAAAGUUAGGGUUCCUAUGCCUCCCGCCGGCGCCGCCGGCGGUCCGCCUCGUCUUCAGUGGCCUUAGUGCCAUGGGGCAUGGUGGAUCCGGCAUUUGCCAGCAGGAGAGCUUCAUUUUUAGACCUUUUUUUUAGUUUUGUUAGGGUUUGUGUCCUGUUUAGAAAGAUGAGACGACGGUGGCUCCCUGAAAAUGAAAUAAGGUUCUCCCCACCUAGCCCCUAUCCCGGUGGUGCAUCUAGCAUCAUCUGUGGGCGUCUAGAGGUAUGUCUCGCGGAUCUGCUCAUAUCUGGUAGUCGUUCCUCUGCGUUCGUGUGUCUUCGGGUUGGAUCCUUUCGAUCUACAGUACUCUUCAUCGACGACGGUUGUUGUUCUGAUGCGCUGGUCCUAUUGAGGCUUAGCACGAAAACUUCCCGACUGUGUACUACAAAAAGGGUUGCCCGGAUCCGGCGAGGGAGGGGCGAUGAUGGCAGUGCGCCUUUAGAUCGUUUCAGCGCUUAUAGUCAUUGCUAUAAUUUAUGCUUGCAUUUAUUUUAUGCUUGCAUUUCCUCACCUACGUUCUCUGACAUCAUUAAUGGCCAACCGACUCAGAGGUUUAGAAGCAAUAGAGAUAUUCGUCAGGGUUGCCGUCUAUCACCCUAUCCUUUUGUGCUUGCAAUUAAUGAACUUUCUCUCGCGUUUAAUGAUGCCAUGACUUUUAAUAAUCUUUAGGGUGUAUUACUUGGACCAAAUUGUCCCCCUGUCCACUCUCCUCUCUUUGCAGGUGACCUUCUAGUUUACGGACAAGCGAGCUUGCAAGAAGCUCAUACAAUGUCACAAAUUAUUCAUCAUUUCUAUAACAUUUCAGGUCAGACUCCAAACUGGUCCAAAUCUGCUAUUCUUUUCGGUGUGCAUGUUAAUCAGGCCAUGAUUGAUGUCAUUAAAGGUAUCUUUCCUGUUCCGUCUAUGGAUGACAGUUUUACUCACUUAGGUCACCCUCUAAUUCUUCCUGCCAAAAACAGGGUUGGCUUACAAUUUUGUUCUUGAUAAAUUAUGGCUAAACACUCUGCUUAUAAAGCUAACAUGCUUUCUGACGCAGCUAGACUAGAGCUCAUUAGGUAGGUUUUCUCUUCCAUUCCAGUCUAUUAUAUGUCUAAUAUCUUGUUCACUAAAAAAUUUAUUGCUAAGCUCACAACGAUCAUUUGAACCUUUUGGUGGUCAGGAAUUAGAGAGAAUAACUAUUCGAAAAUUCUUUGUCUCAGAGCUUGGAAGGAUGUUUGUACUUCCAAACAAGAGGGAGGGCUGGGUAUUAGAAACCUCAAAGCCAUGAAUGAAGGUCUUAUUCUUGCCUCUGCUUGGAGGCUUGCUAGCUCUCCCAACUUUAUCUUGUAUUGCGUGCUCAAAUCUAAAUACUUUCUAGAUACUUCCAUUUGGGCUGCUAUUGCAAACACUCCAAAAUCUGCCUUCUGGUCUUCCAUUCUCAAAAUGCUUCCCAAACUCAAAGCUCACUCUCCCUACCAAAUUACUCAAGGUAACAUUUCCAUUUGGAGUACUCGUUGGUGCUCGGCUUGGUCUAACAUUCAUAACUAUCUCAUUAUUCAACCUGUUGGCUUCAUUUAUCCUGCUCAAGUUAGAGAUCUUUGGAUCCCAGGGAGUAAAUAAUGGGACACCAAUCUCAUCCACACUCUUUUCCAAGAGCCCAUGGCCUCUAUCAUUACAAACACUACUAUUAUACAUGAUGACUGCCCAGAUAUUCUUUGUUGGGAUCUCACUCCAAAUGGUAAAUGUAAUUCCAAAUCUACUUACAAGUUGUGUUUGCAGGAUAUUCAGAGACAACCAAGGGAUCUUCCUAUGCAGGUUAAAGAUAUCCUUAAGCAGGUUUGGAAGAACAAGCAGAUGACCCCACGAGUCCAAACUUUUGCUUGGAGAUUGCUUCGAAAAUCUCUACCCACAGGUUUGAGAGCUAGUUAUUUUUUUCUAUUCACAUUUCAAAACGAUGUUGACAUUGUCAUCGAGAUGAAAGUGAGAUGCAUCUAUGUUUUCUUUGUGACUUUGCUAGGGCAGCUUGGUUUGGCCAUCCUUGGUAUAUUAAAAUGGAUAUAUAUAUAUAUAUAUAUAUAUAUAUAUAUAUAUAUAUAUAUUAGUCUAGAAUCAUAUUUCCAUGCAAAGUAUUAUUCAUGCAUUGCUUAAUAUGCAUCAUCCCUAUGCAUCCAUUCCCACUAUUUUUAAUUUUAUGUGGUAUAUAUGGAAUCGAGAAAUGAUUGUCUUUUUGAUAGAAAAUGCUCUCUUCCUCACCAAGUUCACAUUGCUGCUGCUGCCUUGCUUGAUCAAAAUAUUUCCCUGGUAAACUCCUCUGAUCCUGCUCAGGUUAAUGAUCAAAAUCACACAAGGGAUUACAAAUGUGAUGCCGCUUCAGGAUUGCACUAUUAGGACUGAUUUACUUGUCACAGGAGCAAAAAUUUACUAUGACGCCUCUUACAAAUGUUCAAAAAUUUCUGGUUUAGUGUAGGGUACGAGCGCUACAGGAAUUGGAGUUUUUCUAAAAAAAAUUGCAGGAUCAAAUGAAUGUUCACGUGCAUAUUCAAGCUUCUGCUCCGAUCACGCAAUCUCCUCUUCAAGCCGAGGCUCUUGCCCUUUCGCUUGCAGCCAAAGUGAUUCAUAUUUUAAAGUGGAUCAACCAACUUUUCGCUCUCUGGUGAAGGCGGCUGCGACCAGAAGUACUACAGAUGACUCUGUUCCGAGGACUAUCAGAACUUCUCUUGUUGAUUUCUUCAGAACAACAAAGGAUCUUCAUGCGCAUGUGUAGCACAUAUCUAGGGAGAUCAAUGGGAUUGCUCAUCAGGUUCUCACUCGAGCGUCGGGACCUGUCUUCAGUUGCUUUGGUUCGGCUCAUAAGGGAACAUGCCAUGCCCUGUAAUAUCUCUUGUUUCUAGCCUCAACCUUGAGGGCUUCGUACUCCACGCUGUAUACUGUUAUUGAGCUGAAAUGAAAUUUGGUGCCAUGGGCGCCUUUCCUUGUUCAAAAAAAGAAAAACAUCUUAGUCCAGUUUCUGGAACUGUUUUUUCUUUCCCUUUUUGUUUUAGGCUGUAAGCCUGUAACUGAUAGUUCCGCCAUUAUUACAUACACCGAUACACGUCCGACGAGGGGCUACAACGGUCGGGAACGAAAUCCGUUGGGUCUGUUUGCCGGGGUGACGGCCGGAGAAUCUGUUUUUGUUGCGUGCUGCAGACUGCAAGCUGUGCUGAGUCUGUUGGGCUGAGCGAGGUCGCCGCGGUCAUGGUCGGUUGCGGCUGCAAAGAAGCUUUGACGGUCGGUCAGUCAAACGUUGCUGACCUACUUCGAUUAAGAGGUAAAAGCAUCUUAGAUACCCUACUUAAUUUGCAUAGAAUAUGAUGAUUUAGUUUUAAAUUUGCAAAAUAUGACUUCAUCAUACCUCAGCUUACAUUAGAUGUGACGAUUUGGUCAUGGGCCUAUCAUAACGCAACGCGACAAUCGGCAGCCAUGUGGCCGGUCGGUCGUUGGCCUGCACUUUUGCAAAAAACACCCUACCAUCUUGUCUAAUUAACCCGCGCUACAAAUCGAAACCUUGAGCAUCCAUCGAACAAGAAAGAAAGUACUCCAUGGAGCUCAUGGAAGCUGGCCAGAUGCGUUUUUUUUUGCACGCCUCCUGGAAACUUGUAGCGCAUCAAUGUGCCAAUAUGCGCCAACCAAAAAAAUCUCUGAGAUGAUCUGAGGUUUACACUAUUAUAGGGGAGAAAAAAUUUGGUUAGAACCAGCAGCUAAGGACAGUCUAAGGUGCGGUUCAGAACUAGCAGCUGUUAGUUUCCAAAUUUAAUUAGAAAGCUCCACUAAAUACGUAAAAAAAAGCUUGACUAAAUUAUAAAUACCACUCAUUUUGCAUUUUUCUACGGGUUGCCAUGGUGAUAGUUUCAAGAUUAACAAAGAAGGAAAAGUUGUUGGGUGAUAAUUUUGAGUGAUCAGAAUGUUCGAACCGUCUUCAAUCACGCCAUCACCAACUUCCACCCACUCGCGGACGCCGACCCCGACACCGCCGCCGAGCUCCGCUUCCUCGCCGCGCACUCCAAGUCUGAGGUUGUCGACAUGCUGCACAAGCACACCUACUUCGACGAGCUCGCCCAGAGCAAGCGCGCCUUCGUCGCGUCAACCGCGCUCUCCACGCCCACCACCUCGCACGCUGGCGGGCAUGGCUCGCCCCCUCCCCUGUCGCCGCGAGCGAGCACCUCUUCGACAAGACGGUCACGCCCAGCGACGUGGGCAAGCUGAAAAGGCUGGUGAUACCGAAGCAGCACGUUGAAAAGCACUUCCCGCUCCAGCUCCCGGCCGCAGGCGGCGAGAGCAAGGUCCUCCUGAAUUCGAGGACGGCGACG
rnacentral:lncRNA from 1 species